GACGAACGCUGGCGGCGUGCUUAACACAUGCAAGUCGAGCGGUAAGGCCCUUUCGGGGGUACGACGAGCGGCGAACGGGUGAGUAACACGUGGGUGACCUGCCCUCAGCUCUGGGAUAAGACCUGGGAAACCGGGUCUAAUACUGGAUAUGACUCCAUGACGCAUGUUGUGGAGUGGAAAGCCUUGUGCGGCUGAGGAUGGGCCCGCGGCCUAUCAGCUUGUUGGUGGGGNGAUGGCCUACCAAGGCGACGACGGGUAGCCGGCCUGAGAGGGCGGACCGGCCACACUGGGACUGAGACACGGCCCAGACUCCUACGGGAGGCAGCAGUGGGGAAUCUUGCGCAAUGGGCGAAAAGCCUGACGCAGCGACGCCGCGUGA
rnacentral:rRNA from 1 species